rnacentral:rRNA from 1 species
AACGAACGCUGGCGGCAUGCCUAAUACAUGCAAGUCGAACGAGAUCUUCGGAUCUAUUUGCGCACGUGUGCGUAACGCGGGGGAAUCUGCCCUUGGGUUCGGAAUAACUUCUGGAAACGGAAGCUAAUACCGGAUGAUGACGUAAGUCCAAAGAUUUAUCGCCCAAGGAUGAGCCCGCGUAGGAUUAGGUAGUUGGUGAGGUAAAGGCUCACCAAGCCGACGAUCCUUAGCUGGUCUGAGAGGAUGAUCAGCCACACUGGGACUGAGACACGGACCAGACUCCUACGGGAGGGAGCAGUAGGGAAUAUUGGACAAUGGGCGAAAGCCUGAUCAAGCAAUGCCGCGUGAGUGAUGAAGGCCUUAGGGUUGUAAAGCUCUUUUACCCGGAAUGAUAAUGACAGUACCGGGAGAAUAAGCUCCGGCUAACUCCGUG